rnacentral:tRNA from 1 species
GGGCGGCUAGCUCAGCUGGGAGAGCGCGGCGUUCGCAAUGCCGAGGUCACGGGUUCGAGCCCCGUGCCGUCCACCA